rnacentral:rRNA from 1 species
UACGGAGGAGGCAAGCGUUAUCCGGAAUUAUUGGGCGUAAAGCGUCCGUAGGUGGUUUAGUAAGUCUGCUGUUAAAGCGCGGGGCUUAACUCCGUAUCGGCAGUGGAAACUACUAGACUGGAGUGUGGUAGGGGUAGAGGGAAUUCCCAGUGUAGCGGUGAAAUGCGUAGAUAUUGGGAAGAACACCAGCGGCGAAAGCGCUCUACUGGGCCGCAACUGACACUCAUGGACGAAAGCUAGGGGAGCGAAAGGG